GAUUACACUCUGAAUUCCCUUGUAGUGAGCUUACUUCUCUCCACCCACUUCUUACCAAGAACUCCUUAACUUGAGGGUGAACAACUUAAAGCUUGAUCCUACAGUUACCUGAAAAGUGAUUUGAGUAUUCAUUGAACUGAAAGAACAAAUCGCCUACUUCAGGCGGUGGCAAGCGUAUGGAAAUUAUAUUAGAACUUCAGCAAAGUGCACAGCUGCAUAAUAGAGAAGCCGGCACUCAGAUUGACAGGCAAAUAAGCCAGCUUGUGGAAGGGGCCUCUGGGUGGCAGCUCUGGGCUUUUGGGUGUUGGACAACCAUAGGCAAAACUGAAAUGGAACAGGGGCAGAAAAUAGCACACUUUUACUCUACGCAACUGUUGCUUUUUCAUGGACAUCCAUAAAAAUUCAUCAGAGAGCAUUUUACUACUGAGCUGCAAAGGUAGGAAAAAUAAAUUUUUUUUGGUUAGAAAAUAUACUUCUUUCAUCUGCGUUUCAAUAAUUUAUUCCCCUUGUUAGAUAUACAUGGAAUUGAUAUUGCUUAUUCUGACUAAGUGAAAAGUGUUAUUUCUACUUACUGCUCAAUUAGAAACAUGUAGUGUUUAAUUGUCAGUUUGAAUUUUUCUUUCAUACUAUUACAGUUUAUAUUUUACUAUAGGCAGAAUUUCCUCUUUAUCCUAAAUUUUGAUAUUCUCCAUAAUUUCAUCGUGCCUUGACAUUGCUGUAUAUAAUUUCUAUACAUCAGGAAGGCAAUUCUGUGUGCAUGUGUGUGUGUAUAUAUAUAGUUAGAAGUUAGAAACUGAAACUCUUUUUUGUCUACCAUCAUUUCAUAUUUUUCUUGCUAUUUCAAACCUAUAAUUUUUAAAGAAACGACUAACGUAAUCAUUCAUAGAAUAUGCUGUCAGUAACUUAACAAUAUAAAUGUUAACAUGGAGGCAUUUAGUUCAGCAUUUGCUUUACUUAAUAGAGUGCAGAAAAUGUGGCCCUUUUCUCAGUUAGGGUGUAUGUGAAGAUAAAUUUAGAAUUUCUAGACUAGUAAAUACUUCUCUGAUAAUAACUUAAUUAUAGCUAUUUCAAACCAAAUUGUUUAAUUGUGGUGAAUCAUAUGUAAAUUGUUCAGAUGUAGGUCAACACCCACGCCCACAUUCUAGCACCUCUUUCCUAAUUCAAGACAACUUUGCAGUGCCUAAAAGAGCUGAACAGUGCAGAUUAGAGACAUAAGACAAAAAAAAAAAAAAAACACAAAACAA
rnacentral:lncRNA from 1 species